rnacentral:rRNA from 1 species
UAGCCGUAAACGAUACUCGCUAGGUGUCGGCCACGGUGCGACCGUUGUCGGUGCCGUAGGGAAGCCGUGAAGCGAGCCACCUGGGAAGUACGGCCGCAAGGCUGAAACUUAAAGGAAUUGGCGGGGGAGCACAACAACGGGUGGAGCUUGCGGUUUAAUUGGACUCAACGCCGGGAAGCUCACCGGAUAAGACAGCGGAAUGAUUGCCGGGCUGAAGACCCUGCAUGACCAGCUGAGAGGAGGUGCAUGGCGUAGUCGUGU